CGCAGCGGAAGCGUGCUGGGCCCAUAACCCAGAGGUCGAUGGAUCGAAACCAUCCUCUGCUAAGCGAUAAUUUUUUUUUAUUCGGCAGAGCGAUAGAUUCUGUCAUCUCCCGUGCUUCUGUUUUCCCUCCUGUCCGCGUUAUCUCUCGUGGUGGUGCUCCUGUUGUUGAGAAUGAGUUCUCUUGGUUUAGACCGACUGAGGAUCAAGGACCAAGUCAAAGAGAAGAGAAGUGCCAGAAGAUGUCUGCAGUUGCUGGAUUUGGAAGACAUAAAUCUAUCAUACAUUUACAUUCCAGUUUGAUGAAGCAAUCCCAUCCAUGAUAUGAACCUGCCACAUUUGCUUUCUGUUAAUGUGUUAUCCCACAGAUGGGGUACAUAUUAGAAACAUUUACCAUAAAUAAAAUAAAAUUUUAGGAAAUUUGGUUAUUCUGAAGUUAUCACA